rnacentral:rRNA from 1 species
UACGAAGGGGGCUAGCGUUGCUCGGAAUUACUGGGCGUAAAGGGCGCGUAGGCGGACAGUUUAGUCAGAGGUGAAAGCCCAGGGCUCAACCUUGGAAUUGCCUUUGAUACUGGCUAUCUUGAGUUCGGGAGAGGUGAGUGGAAUGCCGAGUGUAGAGGUGAAAUUCGUAGAUAUUGGGAAGAACACCGGUGGCGAAGGCGGCUCUCUGGACCGUAACUGACGCUGAGGCGCGAAAGCGUGGGGAGCAAACAGG